UACGUAGGUGGCGAGCGUUGUCCGGAAUUACUGGGUGUAAAGGGCGUGUAGGUGGGUGAACAAGUGAGUUGUGAAAUACCGAGGCUUAACCUUGGGGGUGCAACUUAAACUGUACAUCUUGAGUACUGGAGAGGGAAGCGGAAUUCCUAGUGUAGCGGUGAAAUGCGUAGAUAUUAGGAGGAACACCAGUGGCGAAGGCGGCUUUCUGGACAGAGACUGACACUGAGGCGCGAAAGCGUGGGGAG
rnacentral:rRNA from 1 species